UUAUUCUCACCCAUUCUACUUCGUUCAACUGUGGGUUUAUCUACCAUUUCUACUGUGGGUUUCUAUAAGAACUUCUAAUUGAUCGAUGAUUCCCAGUUCUUCGGAAUGAUUUCUUAUUUUACCCGAUGAAAUGAAAAAUUGAAUUCGCAAAGGAGAUUUUUUUUAGGCAAAGAAUAAAUAGGUUUAGGGAGCAACACAAUGAGGCGGAAUUUCUUUUUAUGUGAUGCGCCACUAUAUACCUGUAGGUCGGGACUAAAAAUUGCCAUUCCAUGCAUUUUGUCAUUGGCGCAGAUGAAGGAGUUUUGGUAUUCUGGGAAGGUACAAGUCUAAUUGUUGUCUUCUAAUAAUUCUGAAUUGAUAAGCUCAUCCAAUAAGCUCAUUUGCACAUCUUUGAUUGAUAUGACCAAGUUCUCGAGUUUUCUUAAUAUUAUCUUAGAGAGCUUAUUGCUUAGGAACCCAUAUAGAUCUUACAUCUAAAGAUACCAUCUAAUACAUGAUCCUUCACCUACCAAUCACUUCGUAGAUAUCAUCUAAUAAUACCCGAGAUUCUUCUAUUCUGUUGAAGAUACUAGAUAUCAUUUGUUGAUUCAUAAUCUCAUUCAUGGAAUAACGCACCAAGAUAAGGAGGAAGAAAAGGUUACUCGUAGGGUUUUCUUACUUAUACUCGAUUUUGGUUAAUUCAGAUUAGGGUUUUCUUUUCUCCGUUGAACUUCUAAGUGAUUAUGUUUGAUUCGAUUUAAAAAAAUUUUCCCCAAAAUAUUGAUUUGAUUGAACAUAUCGUGCAUUAAACUCCUCAUGUCCUUACCCUUCCGCUUCCUGAGUGAAGCUAUACAGGGAGAGCUUGAAAUACUAUAUGUGGAUAACUUGGUAAGGUAAAGCUAAACUGUGUUUCUGUGGUUCGUUUAUGUUGAGCUAUUUGUAGGGAGUCAUUAUCUUUUCCAUUGGAUUUAAUGUUCGUGUAUAACAUUAAAUCCAUUAGUGACGGCUUUAUAUAUAUUUUCAUUAGAGGGUGCUUCAUUAUUUUCCCUUUUAUUUGAUAUACUACUUAUUUGGAAGUUAAUUAAGCGUUAAUCCUUCCUUAAUUAUCAUAACUGUUGUGUAAAAUAAUUGAAGCAGGUGAACUACAAUUGAGAUAUCUCGAUUGGAUGCUUGGUAUUCAACCAAGGAGGGAUCUGUGGAAGGCCCUGAUGUCGUCCUCCUGAAAUUAUUCUUCGCUUUAUGCAGGUCCUACAAUAGCGGGUGCAAUAGUGGACUCAUGGAUUACAUAUAUAAAUGGGUCAUGAAGAAUGGAGGAACAACACCAAGGGAGAUUAUUCAUAUCAAACUGGAGACAUACAGAACCUGCGAUCAGAAAAAGUUAAAAAAAUAUCUGUUAACCAUUGAUGGUUAUGCCGACAUACCAGAAACGGCAAAGGAUUACUUAAAGAUGUUGUAACUCAACCUGUGAGUGUGGGUAUAUGUGGUAGUGAUGCGGCAUUCCAACUGUAUCUACUGAAGGGGAGCUUCAGCAGAUCAUGUUCAAUGCACUUGGACCAUGCUAUGCUGACUGUGGGGCAAGGGUUUGAAAAUGGGGUCAAUUACUGGAUCUUAAAAAUCUCAUGGGAAACAAGUUGGGGAUGAAAGGUUACAUUCAUGUUAUGUAAUGGUCCAUUUAAAGUAGAUAUUAGUGGUAUAAACAUCCUAACUUCAUACCCACCUGAGACGAGUCCAAAUCCACCAACCGUUGCUAACCCUCUCAAACCAACGAAGUGCUUGCAGUCUUUUACCAAGUGUGCCGCAGGGGAAUUUUUCCGUUGUGGUCAGAGUUUACUAUGGUAUAAAUGUUGCUCACUGAAUGUUAUUAUGUGUUCUAAAGACUGCGAGCAUUGCUUCCCGCAAGAUUAUCCAAUUCGUUAUACAAAAACAAGCCAAUGCUUUAGGUUUUUAUUUG